UUGGUCAGUUACUAAGACUUGCACAUUUCCUUAUAUAGAAACAACUUACCUGCUGUUCGCCAAUACUUAGAAACUUUUGCAAUUAAUAUCUACUUGAAGUUUCCAGCACUUGUUGGUGAACAGUUAGUUCCUAUAUUACGAGAUUACGACAUGAGGCCUCAGGCUCUUUCUUCAUAUGUUUUUAUAGCAGCUAAUGUCAUAGUCCACUCAAAUCAAGCAGUUCAAUUCAAGCAUUUGGAAGAUUUGCUUCCACCUAUAAUUCCAUUGUUAACCUCACACCAUCAUAGUUUACGUGGUUUACGCAGUUGCUAGUACACCAUGUUCUUUGUAAACUAUUUUCUCCUCUGGAUUCUAAAGCUUCCGAGAUGAUUCCUUUAGAGAAAAAAUGCUUUGAAGAUUUGAAAUCAUACUUGGGGAAAAACUCUGAUUGCAAGCGGUAUGAUAUGUAUUUGCAUUA